UUGCCCGAUGUGUGUGUGGUUGUUCUCGUGAUCGUGAUGACACCGUCGCUUGACUGAGCGUGACCGGCAAUGACUUGCGUGCUCGCGCCGGUACAUCUCAUACUUACCUGGCAGGGGAGAUACCAUGAUCAAGAAGGUGGUUCUCCCAGGGUGAGGCUCAACCAUUGCACUUGGGUUGUGCUGACCCCUGCGAAUUCCCCAAAUGUCGGAAUCUCGACUGCAUAAUUUCUGGUAGUGGUGGACUGCGUUCGCGCUCUCCCCUGAUCUCAUGUCAAUACCAAUGUUAAGGAACUAGAUGUACCGGCAGAAGACAGUCUACACUCCGGACUGGCUACCAGCCACACUCACAAUCACACCGUUUCCCACUGGAGUUAAUUUAGAGUCCAAAUAAUGUCGCAUGUUUAUGGUAUGUGGGAGGAAACACACGCAGGCACGGGGAGAACAUAGACACAGACGGGGCUGGUAUUGAACCUCAGAAUUGUGAGGUCAUCGCUUUUCAAAUGCAUCACCGUGCCACCCCAAAGUGAACUGAAAUUGCUAUUUUUAAUGCUGAUUUCAUUUAUUAGAAGAAAAGAAUAUUCAAAGUUACUUGGGUGUGUGACAAAGUAAUGCCCCCUAAACGUAAUAACUAGUUGGGCCACCCUCGGGAGCAACAACUGAACUCGAGCAUUUUCUAUAACUGGAAAUUAGUCUUUACGUGUCUCUGGAGAUAUUUUUCUUCUUUCUUAUCGAGUUGUCUUAAUUCAACAUGAACAGCUUUUUUAAGAUCAUGCCAAUACAUUUUAUUGAAAUCAAGACUGACUGACUAAACCACUCACAACAUUUUUGUUUAAAGGUGUUCAUAAGUUACUGUAAUUUGCUUGUGUGUUUUGGAUCAUUGUCCUGCUGCAGAACCCAAGUGGGCUUCAAUUUGAGAUCACAAAAUGAUGGGUGAAUAUUCACCACCAGCCUUUUCUUGUAAAGAGCAGAAUUCAUGGUUCUGCGUUUAACAGUCAUCCCUGAACUUCUCUCCUCCAAACUUCUCCAGCUCAGCGUCUCGCCUGCCAUUUCCCAGUGGAUCGACAACUUCCUCACGGGCAAGGUGAGGCUUUUCGCUAUGAUGCUGCACGCAAAUGGAAUAAGUUGCCAACAGAGGGGUGGCACAGUGGAGCAGCUGUAAAGCGUUGGCCUCACAGUUCUGAGGUCCUGGGUUCGGUCCUGACCCUGCCUGUUUGGAGUUUGCAUGUUCUCCCUGUGCCUAUAUGGGUUUUCUCCGGUUUCCUCCCACAUCCCCAAAACUUGCAACAUUAAUUGGACACUCUAAAUUGCUCCGAGGUGUGAUUGUGAGUGUGGCUGUUUGUCUCAAUGUGCCCUGCGACUGGCUGGGAACCAGUUCAGGGUGUACCCUGCCUCCUGCCCGUUGACAGCUGGAAUAGGCACCAGCCCUCCCGCGACCCUCAUGAGGAUAAGUGGCUGAGGAAAUGGAUGGAUGUUGUUUUCAGGAAAAGAAGGGAACCAGCUCAAGAGGAAGAGCCCUCGCUUAGCAGGGAAAUUUGCUUGCAGAGCACAUGAGAUGGAGUGGGAUUUGUUCCUGCAAUCUCCUUUUGACUUUCAACUGUCUGCUGAGGUUUCUUCCACUUUUUGAAGAAGACCUAUCCGAGUUUCAAAAUAAA